GCCGUGAUAGCUCAGCUGGUAGAGCACCUGCCCGGUAUGCGGAGGGUCGCCAGGUUCGAUUCCGGCUCGCGGCU
rnacentral:tRNA from 1 species